UAAUGGUCUAUGGUCUCUCUCCAUUAUGAAAAAUUGAAAUUCCACGUAUAAUGAGUAGGUGAGUAAGCAGGAGUGUCAACCACGAAUCGCGGCUGAGGGAUUCGCGGAUAUCUUCAGAUCAGAUCUGGGGUUCUUUACAUCUGGCGUUUCAGAUCUGGGAUUCACGGAUUCACGAAGAUUUGAGGUUCGCGGGAUUCUUUAGAUCUGGGGUUUGCGGCUGGGUUGCGUUUUCACGACAGGGGUUCGCGGUAGGUUCACGUUUUCACGGCUGAAUUUACUUCUUCGCGGUCGGCUGUGAGAACGUGAUCAAUUGUUACUUCUUCGCUAAUGUGAUCAAAGGGGUUCGACGGCUGGGUUUUCUUCUUCGCGAAUAGCUGGGGUUCGCGGCAGGGAGGCGUCUUCAAUGCUGAGUUGCAACACUAAAACACGACGCGUUGAACGGAGACGAAGAUGAAGAGAUGAAGAUUUUCGUUGUCAAUGAUCUUCACGACAGAGAUCUCGGCGGCGGCACUGGUGAGUUACAGUAAAUCUAGGUCUUUUGCUCUGUUAACAUGUGGGAAAUAUUCUAAUAUUUUAUUAAUGAAUAUUCUGUAUUUUAGAAGCCAAUCAAUUGUUAUGUAAAUAGAUAAAUUACACAAAUUAAAUAAGAAAUGUAAUAUAAUUAACCUAAACUAUAGAAUUUAUAUUAAUAGUUAGAUUAUGAGAAAAUUAUAAACACAUAAUGAUAUUGAGUUGAUAUGAUAAUUGUUUAAUAUAAAAAAUAAUCAUAUUAAACUAAACAAUAAUAAACAAAAUUAAUCAAUACUUGUAUGUCCUCUUUUCCAAUCUCACCAUUAUCUUCUUUCUCUCGUUUCUCUCGCUUUAGAGAGCCAUAUUCGUAGAUUGUCAUUGUUUACCCAAAUAACGUUAUCCACGCAAUUUUAUUCAUAUAUCUUUACAUUUUGUUUGAUUUUUCAGCUUCCUUUCAAUCUCUUUAGUCUUCAAAUCUAUAACCAUAAAAAGAUGGAGAAAACUAAAUUUUAAAAUCCAAAUCAUGAUCAUACCAAAGAAAAAAAAAUGCACUAAAAGAUGACUACCAUUUUUCAUUUUUUGUAUGUGAAUUUAUAUUGUAAUUCAAUAAAAUAGGAAUUAAUUAUGAUGAGUUAUUACUCAAUUAACCAUGGCAAAAAAGCACUUAAAUCAAUGGUCUAUGAGUUUUUAAAAAUUAAAAUGGCAAUGGCUUAUUAUUAGUUAAGAAUUUUUGAAGUUUUUUUUACGUGGAUGGUUGUAACUUAAAAAUAUUUUUAAUGGUUGUUUUAAAAAAGGAAUCAGCUCAGGUAUAAAUUUUGUAAUAUAUAAUAUCUUGAACGUUGGAUGUUAUUAAUUUUCUUUUUUCUUCUUCUUUUUCUUCCUUUUAAUAUCAUAUCUUUAUCCUUAAACUACGAUAUACAUUGAUAGUAAUUGGUUAACAUGAACACUUCAAAUAUAAUAGAUUAAUCUAAGAUCACUCAUCGUAAAUUUACAAGUUUUCCUCUCUUUUGUCUUUUGUUCAAGUGCUAGUGGAGAGAGAGGUUUUUUGGUAAGUUUAGAGUCGAACAACAAACAUUUCGAAAUGCCUCGACUUUUCUAACCUUAUGUGGUGACUAUAUCCAGUAUAUGGUUAUGGACACGACGAUGAAGUAUAACGUAAUAUGAACUCAGCAAUUAGGUGUGUUUAUAUAGGAAUAUUUAACCAAUUAAAUGUUAACACAAGCGAGAUUAACAUUUCAAGGUGAUACAAAGCAUUUAUUAACUUCAAGGCAAGUAGCCAUUAGGUGCUUUGGUCAUACUUGCUCGUCUUUCGGAAUCUAAAUACUUGAAGUUAAGAAGAUUUGUACACAAUUUGUCUGUUUGAAUCAUAAGUAAUCCAUCCUUUAUUAAGGCGGGCAUCCUUUCGGUGCUCGACCACACACAUUGUGCAUUUAUGUAAUGUAUGAAAAGGAUAAAUUCGACGACAAGAUUGUAUUGUAAUGAUCUCAUAACCACUCAGUUAGCUAAAAUAAGGUCAUCACGCAUCAAGUGAUGACAAUCAAUACUUUGUCUGUUCUCUUGAAUAAGACAAGGCAUUGAUGGCCACAUUUAACUAAACAAGACUUAUAAUGCACUCAACUAGAUUGUGAGAUCCAUUUCUAAUUUGAGUAAGGAAGUAAAUUCGGCUAAAGUAUUAAGAAGUUGGCAUUUGAAUAAAUCUGCAGAAAGGAUUAAGCGAUAAAAUCUUUUAUGGUUAAGUAUACGUUUUUUGCAAUUAAGUGGGUAGUUCACAAAAGAAGUUCAUGUGCGAUAAGAAGAGUCUUUGCAUAAGUUAAGAAGUGAAAGUUUUGACAAAGUGUUAGACUAGAUGUUUUGAGAGGACUUCGCGAGAAGAACCAAGUGUUUCGCGGAGAAGAAGUAUGCGAGAAAGCCUUUGAGUUUAAGUUCGCGAUAAGAGUUCUAUGCGAGUAAAAGUUGGUUAGCUCGCGUGGUAGGUUUUCUUAUAGUAAAACUAUAACCAUGUGAUAAGGUUAUUCGCAAGAAAUGUUAAGUGGUUGAAGUUAUUCACGGUAUGGGUUAGGCGAGAAGCAAGGUUUGGAGUAUAAUACUCGUAUUUCUACGAGUUAUCAAUUUUACUCACACUGAAUUUGUGAUAUACACAAUCUUCUACUAUAUUCGACUCAAAGCCAAAAGAUGUAAUUACUUCAUGAAAUUUAUGAUACCACUAACGACAGGCUUGUCUGAGACAAUAGAUGGAUUUCUUCAAUUUGCACACCAUAAAUUUUAAAUUAUUAGAUAUUAAGUUUUCUAGUAGUACUGUCACACCCUAUCCCAAAAGACAUCCUCAAUAUGCCCAACAUGUGACAUGAAGUCGAUCGACAUCAUUCUUCUUCUAACGACAUCUGUUGACUCUGAUUGACUUGUAACCCUUAUCUAGAGUUGGCUUUAGAUUUGGCUACCUAAAUUUAAUUGAUCAAAUCUAAACGAUUGUGUACUAAAAAUAGUCAAAUCUAAACAAUCUUGUACACACAAUCUUAAAAAAAUCUUUUAGAUUUGGCUACCCAAACUUAACUGAUCAAAUAACUAUCGUGUACCAAAAAUAGCCCAAUCUAAAUGCUUGUGUCACAAAGAACCUUGAAAAAAUCAUUUAGAUUUGACUACCCAAAUUUAAACGAUAAAAUCUAAAUGUUCGUGUAGAAAAGUUAAAAAAAAAAAAUAGUUUAGAUUUGGCUAACCAAAUUUAAAUGAUGAAGUCUAAACGAUCGUGUACAAAAGAAGCCAAAUCUAAACGAUAAUGUACCAAAGAAUAUUGAAAAAACUUGUUUAGAUUUGGCUACCCAAAGUUAAACUAUCAAAUCUAAACGAUCGUGUACCAAUUCUUUUUAAAAAAAAACGUUCUGAUUUGUUUGCCCAAAUUUAAACGAAUAAAUAUAAACAAUCUUGUACAAAAAAUAGUCAAAUCUAAACAAUCGUAUACAAAGAAUCUUGAAAAAAAAUCGUUUAGAUUUGGGUAGCAAAUUUAAAUAAUUGUUUACCAACUAUGUUAUGCACGCUGGAUGUCAAUUAAUCACGAGACAUUUUUGGUAUUUUUCAUUAGGGGCCUGUGGGUUUUUUCCAUUUUCAAAAUUGUUUUAUACAGUGUAAAUAUUUUGUUGCUUUGUAUAUUUGUAAACCCUGAACCCUAUUGAACUUGGAUUUUCUCAAGAGUUUGAAAGGAUUAUUUUUAAGUAAAGUAAAGAUGGGAAAGUAGACUUAAGAAGUGACUUGGUAAGCAUGUUUUGAUAGGUGAAAAGUAGACUUGAGAAGUGACUUGGUAAGCAUGUCUUGAUAGGUGGAAAGUAGGAAAAUUAAGAAAUAAUGAUUUAAAAGAUAGGAAAAUUAAGAGGUAAUGGUUUAAAAGAUAAGAAAAAGUUAAGUAGAAAAGAGGAAAAUUUUGGUUAACUCCAUGGCCUAGGCGUUUGGCCUUGGUGGACGGUCAAAUGAAGAGCUAAUAACCUCUAAAGAGGUUAUUUGGGUGAGAAGAAAGCUUGCUAGGCGACAAGAUUAAUGUGGUGGUGUAUGGCCAAGAGGGUUAAGAUAACCACUAAAUGUGUUGGCGAAUUGGCUUUGUCAGGCGAGAAGACUUGUUUAAAGGUUAGGUAUGCAAUUGGGGUUUGUUGUUGGACAGCAAGACAACACAAAGAAGGCUAUGCGAGAGGCUUAGAGGUUAAUAGGCGAGAGGCACUAGGCAACCAAGGCUAUGCGAUGAGAGGUUAGCCAAGUCUAUGCGAUGAAGACUAUAGAAGUUAGCUAGGCGUUUUGGCAUGUCCUUGAAAAUUUGGCAUUUUUGUUAGGCAAGAUGAGGAAAAUGUGGACUCAGUUAAGUGGAUUCCAGGUGUCAUAUACAUGCAUAGAUUAAAUUUCGGCGGUAGGAAGUGUCAAUAAAGAUUUAUGCAAGCUUCAGUAUAAAUAGGUCGCUUCAGAUGAAUAUUUCUCCCAAACCACUUGUGCGAUUUUGCUGAUAUUAGCUUCAAAUGAUCACAGGUUGAGUCUAUUCUUUAUUUUAGGGUUGUUGGUUUAAUUUGAAAGAAGGAAGAUUGAAUUUAAGUUGAAAGAAGAGAGAAAAAUCAUUCUCAAGAGAAUCUCGAGUAGUGUUCACUUCAAAAAGCUAUACAAUUCAUCACAAAGAGCUUUUGGCUACAAUUUUGAGGUAAGAAAGCUACGACCAAAGAAGCACACAGUAAACCCUGUCCGCGAAGGCUGUGCGAGAUGGCCUGUGUGAGGCAUGCGCAUGACAAACCUUUUGUGAGGUUAGCACAUGGCAGACCUGCCCAGGCCAUGCACGUGUGUGCCUGCGCUGUCGCCCACCCCAUACACACCAGACAUGUCAAAUGGGUGUUUUUGGGCUACUUUUGGUAUUUUUAGAAUUGUUAAGUAGAGUUAAGAUGUUUUCUUGAUGAAAGGAUAUUAAUUGGAAUUAUUUCCCAUCAUUUCAGACCAAGAAGAAAUCACGCAAAUCUGGCGUUUGAAUUAAUCAACAAAAAAAAUUAAGAGAAAAUCUUUUAUGGUUAAAUAUAUGUUUCACAAUUAAGAAAGUAACUCGCGAGGAAGUUUUGAGAAAAGAAGGAUUUGCGAUAGGACUUAUAAGUCUAAACGCUCACGAGAGAAAGAGUAUUCGCGAUCGAAAAAUGAGUUAUUGCGUUAAGACCUUCGAAGUAAAAUGAUCAUGGGUUUAGAAUCAUGAAUUAUGUUGAUUUUUCUUAGCUUUGUUCUCGUUGGAACGCUGAGAUUUCGUGAUUCUUAGACUGUUUGAUGAUGGACGAAUAACCUUCCCUGGAGUUGCUUGCUUCUUGAGUGCUGAAUUUGUUGGCUUUAUUGUUCACUCAUCCAACAUGGUCAAUAACGAAGAAAAUUUGAAAAGUUCUUCCGCUAAUUUUGAAGAGCCAAAGUAUGUUCUUGUUUAAUAUUUUCUAAUGAAUGUCCUAUUUUGGAAGGCAUUUUCUUGUUUAGUUGAUGUAAUGAUGUUCAUAAUCACAUAAUUUUUCUGGAUAGCCACUUGAAUCCAAUUUUAUGAUUUUGCUUAUAUGCAAUUUGUGUCUUUAAAACUUUUUUUAACGCCACUGAAUUCAUGUUUUAAUAUUAUGUUCUGUAUUCAUUUUUGACAAGGAAACCAAAAUCUCUCUUAUUUCAAACAUGGGUAAAUCUUCUAGAGCUAUGAUCUACUACUAUCACUCCAUUCAUCCUUUGCCAAGUGAUAGAACUGUUGAACUUUUUGGUUUUAAAUUUUGACAUGCACAGUCGAAUCAACGAACCUGGAAAGUGCUGCUUACUCUUCACAAAAAGCAAAGGCUGGGACUGCUGACUUUCUUGUUCAGCUUGAAAAUAGAAGAUCCAUCAAGGUCUAUACUACAAACAUCAUUGCAUACAUUAUGAUAAGAUCCACAUUCCUCUAGUAUUUCUUGGCCCAAGUAUUUAACAAUCCUAAAUGUACUGUACUUAAUAUUGUGUGAUGUUGCAUAGCAAAGCCAAAGUAAAUAAAGUGGGCCUGAUAGGCCAUUGGUUCACUUUCUCUUUUAUUCUUACAAAGUUACAUGUACUCAGUGGCUAUAAAUGGCACAUACUUGCAAAUGUAUGGUAAGAGCACACUAAUUGGAUUGUGCUUUAACUUUCUUUUCUAGUGUUUCUAUUUCUCUCUUCUCACCAGCAUUUGUAUACACUGGGGUUGAUUACUGAUAACUUUCUUUUCUAGUGUUUCUAUUUCUCUCUUCUCACCAAAGUUGCAUCCAAUUAUUAAUAAUUAAUAAGCUCUGUUUAAAGCACACACAUAUGUGUAUGUAUUAUAUCUUUGCAGGCAACUCAGGUAAUCAAGCAAUUGAUCUACUACUCAUACAAAAGGGAGUUCCAGAAGCGCACAUCAUAUCUCUAAUUUGAGCUUUAGUUUUUAUCAUAUUCCAGAUUUCUUAUUUUAUUACAUUUUCGAGGAUUCAAGGUUAAUAGAUUUGUUUCUAGGUUGAUAUAUUUUUGGUUGUUGUAGUUCCUUUGAUAAUAUGUAGAUUAUAUUCUGCAGGCAGUUGAGUUAUGGAUUGUUGACAAGGUUGUUCUUCCAACUGAGAACUCUGUUGGUGGAAAUUCCUAUAAUUUCAAAUUCAAUGAACUUUUUGUUUCUUCUUAUUUUUCUCAUCUUGUUCCCUUUGGUACUAAUGGGUUUCUAACAUUGUGCUUCAGUUGAAAAAGACAUACAGCAACGGAGCCAUUCAUCUUCUUGAUCUUUCAUUUACAAAAUCAUUAAUCUACGGUUGCCGGCAUUUGAAAUUCUAGUGAUUAGACAAUUUUUGCAGCAAACUGUGAGUCUCUGCUAUUUUUUUCUUGGUUGGUUUAUCGAUUUUACUUCUGUUAUUUUGAAGUUUGAUUAUCAAAGUGAGGAAAGAGUCAAAAUGACUAGAUUAUGCUCAUUGUUUGACUUUAGAACUUCAAGGAAGUUGUGGUACGGUUCAGAAGAAAAUGGUCUCAACUUAGUUUUAGCUUUUGAUUUGAC
rnacentral:lncRNA from 1 species